UACAGAGGUCUCAAGCGUUGUUCGGAUUCAUUGGGCGUAAAGGGUGCGUAGGCGGCGCGGUAAGUCGGGUGUGAAAUCUCGGAGCUUAACUCCGAAACUGCAUUCGAUACUGCCGUGCUUGAGGACUGGAGAGGAGACUGGAAUUUACGGUGUAGCGGUGAAAUGCGUAGAUAUCAGGAGGAACACCUGCGGUGUAGACGGCUUACUGGACCAUAACUGACGCUGAGGCACGAAAGCGUGGGUAGCAAACAGG
rnacentral:rRNA from 1 species